rnacentral:rRNA from 1 species
CCUGGCUCAGAUUGAACGCUGGCGGCAGGCUAAUACAUGCAAGUCGAACGGUAACGGCAGGAAGCUUGCUUCCUGGCUGACGAGUGGCGGACGGGUGAGUAAUACCUGGGGAGCUGCCUGAAUGAGGGGGACAACACCUGGAAACGGGUGCUAAUACCGCGUAAGCCCUGAGGGGGAAAGGCCGGGCAACCGGUCGCAUUCAGAUGCGCCCAGGUGGGAUUAGCUAGUUGGUGGGGUAACGGCCUACCAAGGCGACGAUCUCUAGCUGGUCUGAGAGGAUGAUCAGCCACACUGGAACUGAGACACGGUCCAGACUCCUACGGGAGGCAGCAGUAGGGAAUAUUGCACAAUGGGGGGAACCCUGAUGCAGCCAUGCCGCGUGUGUGAAGAAAGGCCUUUGGGUUGUAAAGCACUUUCAGUAUGGAGGAAGUGAGCUGAGUUAAUAGCUUAGUUCAUUGACGUUACAUACAGAAGAAGCACCGGCUAACUCCGUGCCAGCCGCCGC